GAGGAAUUUUUAUUUACCAUUACUUCCUCAGGAGGGGAGAACUGUUUUUUGUCUAUCAUUCUGUCCAUCGAAAAUUGUGUCCCUUUGAUUUCAGGAACUACAAGUCAGAGUUUCCAGAAUAUUGAAAAUAAGUCACAUGUAUGCAUGUUUUACUGUGUGAUAUGUUUUCACAUAACCAUAACAAAAGUCUGUACAAGAUAGAAUGAAUAAUGUCCAAUCUAUAAUUUUUUUUCUGUGUUAUACUGAAUUACAUACUUUUGUACACCAACACAUAUCAUUGGUCACUGAAAGACUGAAGUGUGAGUGGCUGGGUUUUUGUCACAAAAAUAAUUAUUUUUCAAGUAGCUUUUUAUGAACAGAUAACCCAUUGACAAUUUUUUAUUGUUUUUUAAGUUAGUGAUAAAUUAAUAUAUAUCUGUAUUGAAGGAAUGUUCUGUAUCAGAGGUUUACCAGAAAUAUAUAUGUAUGUGAGUGGACACUUAUUUGAAGUUUUUGAUAAAAAUUGUUUUAUUGCAAUGAAAGUAAUAGUUUAAACUCUCUCUCUCUCUAUCCGUUUCUCUGGAAUGGCCCUCAAAAAUAAACACAGUGGCCAUUAAGUUUGUAUGUUUUGUCUUAUUUUACUCUAUAUUUCGCUUACUGUAUCAUCAACCAAGCAUCCCAAAUGAGAAGGGUGAUGGCCAUUAGAUGAACGAUUUAACUUGUAACUAAAGCAAAAUUCAGUUGUAUAUAGUUUUAUAUGCUCCUUUUUAU
rnacentral:lncRNA from 1 species